rnacentral:rRNA from 1 species
GACGAACGCUGGCGGCGUGCUUAACACAUGCAAGUCGAACGGAAAGGCCCCCAUCUUGGUGGGGGUGCUCGAGUGGCGAACGGGUGAGUAACACGUGGGUGAUCUGCCCUGUACUUCGGGAUAAGCUUGGGAAACUGGGUCUAAUACCGGAUAGGACCAUGGUUUAGUGUCUCAUGGUGGAAAGAUUAUUGUUUUGGUGCAGGAUGAGCUCGCGGCCUAUCAGCUUGUUGGUGGGGUAAUGGCCUACCAAGGCGUCGACGGGUAGCCGGCCUGAGAGGGUGGACGGCCACAUUGGGACUGAGAUACGGCCCAGACUCCUACGGGAGGCAGCAGUGGGGAAUAUGGCACAAUGGGCGCAAGCCUGAUGCAGCGACGCCGCGUGGGGGAUGACGGCCUUCGGGUUGUAAACUCCUUUCGGUAGGGACGAAGCCACGCUUUUGGGGUGUGGUGACGGUACCUUUGUUAAGAAGCACCGGCUAACUACGUG